GUCUUUGUAGCUUAGAGGUCAAGUGCUCUUUCAAAGUACGGACAUUAGCAGUUCUUUAAAGGAGAGACGUGGGUUCGAGCCCCACCGGAGACA